AUUGAACGCUGGCGGCAGGCUUAACACAUGCAAGUCGAGCGAGCGGCGGACGGGUGAGUAAUGUCUGGGAAACUGCCUGAUGGAGGGGGAUAACUACUGGAAACGGUAGCUAAUACCGCAUACCAUCAGAUGUGCCCAGAUGGGAUUAGCUCGUAGGUGGGGUAAUGGCUCACGUAGGCGACGAUCCCUCGCUGGUCUGAGAGGAUGACCAGACACACUGGAACUGAGACACGGUCCAGACUCCUACGAGAGGAAGCAGUGGGGAAUAUUGCACAAUGGGCGCAAGCCUGUUGCAGCCAUGCCGCGUGUGUGAAGAAGGCCUUCGAGUUGUAAAGCACUUUCAGCGAGGAGGCGUUACUCGUAGAAGAAGCACCGGCUUACUCCGUGCCAGCAGCCGCGGUAAUAC
rnacentral:rRNA from 1 species